rnacentral:rRNA from 1 species
GAGCCAGACUCCUACGGGAGGCAGCAGUGGGGAAUAUUGGGCAAUGGGCGCAAGCCUGACCCAGCAACGCCGCGCGAAGGAAGAAGGCUUUCGGGUUGUAAACUUCUUUUAAGAGGGAAGAGUAGAAGACGGUACCUCUUGAAUAAGCCACGGCUAACUACGUGCCAGCAGCCGCUGUAAUACGUAGGUGGCAAGCGUUGUCCGGAUUUACUGGGUGUAAAGGGCGUGUAGCCGGGCCGGCAAGUCAGAUGUGAAAUCCCAAGGCUCAGCCUUGGAACUGCAGUUGAAACUGUUGGUCUUGAGUAUCGGAGAGGAAGGCGGAAUUCCUAGUGUAGCGGUGAAAUGCGUAGAUAUUAGGAGGAACACCAGAGGCGAAGGCGAUUAACUGGACCGUAACUGACGCUGAGGCACGAAAGUGUGGGUAGCAAACAGGAUUAGAUACCCCGGUAAUA